ensembl:snoRNA U3 Small nucleolar RNA U3
AAGACUGUACGUUCCAAGAUCGUUUCUAUAGUUGGUUGUGAGAGAAGUUUCUCUGAACUUGCAGAGCACGGGAAACCAGGAGGAGGAGGCUCAGGGUGCUCUCCACACAUGUGAAACCGGCUGUAGGUGUUGCUUUCCUGUGACUGCCAUUUGCCACUGAUGAUCUUCUCUUCCUCUGGAAGAGUAAGAGGGGGAAGGACACAGUUUCAGUGCU